GCCUUUGUAGCUCAGUCGGCAGAGCGCAUCCUUGGUAAGGAUGAGGUCAGCAGUUCAAUCCUGCUCAAAGGCUCCA
rnacentral:tRNA from 1 species